rnacentral:snoRNA from 1 species
AAGACUACUUUCAGGGGUCAUUGCUAUAGUUCGUUACUAGAGAAAUCUCUCUGAGUACAUAGAACCCCAGAAACCACAAGGAGGAGGUGGGCAUUGUCUCCUGAGUGUGAAGCUGGCUCUCAGUGUUCCUUUGCUCCAACUGCCAUUUGCCUUUGAUGAUCCUUGUUGUCCUCUGGGAGGAGCAAGAGGGAGACGAUGCAGUCUGAAUAGU